rnacentral:rRNA from 1 species
CGUUGAUUUCACACUGCCGAGAAAAGCCUCUAGAUAGAAAAUAGGUGCCCGUACCGCAAACCGACACAGGUAGUCAAGAUGAGAAUUCUAAGGUGAGCGAGCGAACUCUCGUUAAGGAACUCGGCAAAAUGACCCCGUAACUUCGGGAGAAGGGGUGCUCUUUAGGGUUAACGCCCAGAAGAGCCGCAGUGAAUAGGCCCAAGCGACUGUUUAUCAAAAACACAGGUCUCUGCUAAACCGUAAGGUGAUGUAUAGGGGCUGACGCCUGCCCGGUGCUGGAAGGUUAAGAGGAGUGGUUAGCUUCUGCGAAGCUACGAAUCGAAGCCCCAGUAAACGGCGGCCGUAACUAUAACGGUCCUAAGGUAGCGAAAUUCCUUGUCGGGUAAGUUCCGACCCGCACGAAAGGCGUAACGAUUUGGGCACUGUCUCAACGAGAGACUCGGUGAAAUCAUAGUACCUGUGAAGAUGCAGGUUACCCGCGACAGGACGGAAAGACCCCGUGGAGCUUUACUGUAGCCUGAUAUUGAAAUUCGGCACAGCUUGUACAGGAUAGGUAGGAGCCUUUGAAACGUGAGCGCUAGCUUACGUGGAGGCGCUGGUGGGAUACUACCCUAGCUGUGUUGGCUUUCUAACCCGCACCACUUA